AAUUCUGAGAGUUGAAGUCCACGGGGUCUUAAAAAGGUUGGCCUACAGUGCUUUCUGAAUCACCAAUGGGAUGCUGGAGACACCACUUCUUAAGUUAACUGUACAAUUCGUCUUUUUGAGGGCACUACCCACUAUUCUAGGUGGUGCUACUUCAACCGGCAAUACUACAACCGUUCAGCCUGACGGGGUACAACAACGGCAAGUCCCUUAAUCCUAAAAGCCUAGUCAAGCACCAGAAGACAAAACGUUGGCAGGAGGCAGGAAAGUAGAGAAGGAGCGGAACAGCGGAAAGCAAAACCCUCAAGGCGCUUCGGCAAAUCGAAGCGCAGAGGACUUCCAACUCCCAGAAUUCUCCGCCGUGGGCAACGCCGGCUUGGAGAAUUCUGGGAGUUGUAGUCCGUUAUGCCUUGAAAUCGCCACGGUUGGAAAACCCUGCAGUGGAGGACAGGAAUGGGUAGCCUGUAGAGUCCAGAAGAUUUGAGAAGGGGGGCCUUCACUUGGCAGGGGUUUCAAGCACCCCCAGCAGCAAAGAAAACUGAUAAUUGGAUUCAUUUUCCCCAUUUAGAAGGAGAGUGAAGGAGGAAACUUAAGUGCUUUAAGGCUUUGUAUUUUGUUCCUUUAACCCCUUCUGGGAAAAAAAAGAGAAGAAAGAAAGAAAAAAGAGAAGAAAAAAGUCUGAAAUUUGAUCCCUGCCUCCUCCACAGAUGUAAUGUAUAAAUCCUACAACUCAAUGGGACGGCAGGAAAGCAUCUCCAGACCCCAAAAGGUUGCCCAAUCCCACUGCAGGACGUCCAUUCAAACUCCUGUUUCAUUUUAUGCAUUCCAGGCAAAUGGAGUUUGGCAAAUCGUCUUGGGAAAUCAGUUCAUCCCUACAGUUUACACUAAGGACCCUUGAGAUACAUCCAGCCACAUAUUUAUGCAAGUUGCUCUGCUUUCUAGGGGAAUUAUUCCACAAAAUCCAAUACGUAGUUACAAACAAUUCCUGAUGAAGUAGGAUAACCAAAACUCUUAAAGCAGGGAUGGUCAAUUUUGGCAGCUUUCGGAGCUGUAGACUUCAACUCCCAGAAUUCCCCAGCCAGAGUGGAAUGCUGGGGAGUUCUAGAAGUUGAAGUCCACAAGUCUUAAAAGUUACCAAGGUUGGAGACCCCUGUACUAAAGUCAUACAACUGAGACUGUAUGAUGGCUCCCAGCUUCUUUGGCAAACUGAACAAUUCACUGCUGUGAAUAUUUUUGUGCUGGGCAUUUUUCCCCUAUAAAAGGGCAUUUUUUUCUUACUCAUGCAAGGCAAUCUUAAGGCCCUUAGAAAAUAUAUCUUGAACACCAAGGAGACAAGUAGUGGACUAAGGGGUGAGGUGAUCGUAGAAUGAAGAGCUAUAUUACAACUGUGGGGGGGGGGGAAUUAAUCCCUUGGGGUGAAAUCACAUCAUUAUCAGAUGUGAAAAGAAUGAAACCAUUAUCAAAGAUAAGUAAAAAAAAGCUGCAUGUAUAAUAUUUGUUUUGAAAGAAUACCUCUCUCUGGACGUUAACAGAGGAUUCAUGGACUCUUUAAGAGCUCCUCCAUCCAAAACAUUUGACACAUGCUUUGGCACUUUUGCCACCAAUUAAAAUAAAAAAGCCGGAAUAUAGGAUUUUAAAAAUUGGUCAAAGUUGAGAAAACAAAUGGCACUGCAACAAAAUAUGUUUGAAAAUAUCAAGAACUACCAACCUAUGUUCAGAUUAAAAUCUCAGUGGAGAUUUUAGGGGACAUAUAUAACAUUGGAUCUUUCCUCUACCAUCAAAUCAGACUAUUAAUAUAGACUUGAAUCUACAUUUCAGGCCAAUCCAUGAAUACUUUCAAAGAAUCAGAUCUACUUCAUACCUGCUACAAGUACAGACAGCAAGAAAACUAAAUUUCGGGGGUUUUUUCUAAAGCACAUUUCAGCCACCCAUUUCUACAUUUAUGAGAACAGGACAAUUCUGAGGGCCGAUUUACGAGGUGACCUCCGCUCAAAAAUUUAAAAGGGCCAAAAGCAGGAUCCUACAAUACUUGCUGCUCCAGAGAAGACUGAAGCCAUGGAGAGUCACGGAGUCUUUCCAAAUGGGAUCUGUUGCACGGAAAGAGGAAGACGGGGGGGGAAGGCAAGUUCAUUUGUUAAUGUUUCCCCGAGACUUAACGAACACAAAAACGUAAAAAAAAAAAAAGGCAGC